rnacentral:lncRNA from 1 species
UGGGCCAAGUCAGGAGAAGGCGUGGUUUGCAUUUAGUUUUCCCAGCAACCAGUUAGGUCACUCCAUUAUUCUUGCUUUUUCACAGCUGAAAAGACACAGGCUCAGAGAACUCCAAGGCCACACAGCUGGUGAAAAUUCUAAUUUAAAGCCAUAGCUCUGCUAGGCUUUGGGAAGGCACUGGUGAGUUACCCCCAGCUGAAUCUUGGAGGAAUUAAAAGGGCAGCACAUUAGCUCAGAAUAGAGCAGCUAGUAAGGACUGGAACUGACUGUUGAACCUGUGAAGCCACCCGGGGUCUUGAUGUCAUGGUAGUGCCCUCAUGGAGGAAAAACAUUUUCAGAAGAAUAAAG